UGCCUUAUCGUCUAAUUGGUAGGACACGACUCUUUGGAAGUCGCAAUGUUGGUUCGAGACCAGCUAAGGCAA
rnacentral:tRNA from 1 species